UUCCUCGUGGCCCAAUGGUCACGGCGUCUGGCUACGAUAGUAGUUACUUCUGAAACCAGAAGAUUCCAGGUUCGAGUCCUGGCGGGGAAG
rfam:Ashbya gossypii ATCC 10895 chromosome III, complete sequence.